rnacentral:rRNA from 1 species
GACGAGGGGUCCAAGCGUUGUUCGGAAUCAUUGGGCGUAAAGCGGGUGUAGGUGGCUUUGUAAGUCAGGAGUGAAAUCCCCGACGCUUAACUUGGGAAGUGCUUUUGAAACUGCAGAGCUUGAAUGUGGGAGAGGAUCGUGGAAUUCCAGGUGUAGUGGUGAAAUGCGUAGAGAUCAGGCGGAACACCCGUGGCGAAGGCGGCCAGCUGGGCCGUCCCUGACGCUGAGGCGCGAAGGCGUGGGGAGCGAACGGG